CAUUUCCAAUCCUCGAGGGCAGACAAAUGCAUAUAAGUGAAUGCAGCUGUUGUGACUCGUGCUGUGACUCGUGCUGUGACUCGUGCUGUGACUCGUGCUGUGACUCGUGUUGUGUGUGUUUCCCUCCAGGUUCUGCAGACAGACCGCGGCUGCAACAGCGCCCCUCACUCCGUGCACCGGUCGUAGGCUGACACCUGCUGGUGAGUUUGUGGAACUGCACUGACACUUUGAAUUAAAAACAAAAGCAGGAAGUAAUGAAGCAGGAAGAAACAGCCACAGCUAAAACAGAUGUGGACGUAGAGAACAGUUUAAGCACUUGAAUAAAAACGAGUCCCGGCCCGUGUUACAGAAACAUCUCGACUCUGACACGCUGUGCCGUUUCAGGCACAGCUGGUGGUUUGAAUGAGGUGAAAGAGCACUCCCCGUUUGCCCCUGUUUCAGUCCCGAUCAUGUGGAGGAGUCCAGCAGAGAGACAUCCACGUCCUAAGAGCGAGAAUCCACCUCCCAAAGCCAGCGUGUGUGUGAUCACACCAGCCGCCCUGCGACAAAACAACAUGGUGGCGAGCGCACGAAGCUCCGGCUGUAUCUGCAGUCCCGGUUCCUGUCCUUCCUGUCGGGGUCGAGCUCUUCAGAAACACGCUGCAGCCCGUGUGUCUCUCUGUCUCGCCCCCACCCCCACCCCGUCUCUCUCUCUGUGUGUGUCCUCGGGGGAGGGUUGCAGCAGCUGUCUGUGGGGGGGCUGCAGGGCCUCUGGGUGGAGGAGGAGCAGUGAGUGAGUCUUUUGUUCCCCGCCCUUCAGCACACCAAUCCUGGCCGCCUGACGUAAAGGCUCUUUGCAUAGCUUUCCCAUAAGACCUGCGAGCUCCUCGGCAGAGCAGACGGACCCGGAGCGGGUCAGACCGGGUCAGAUUGGGUCUCGGCGGGUCACAGUAGGUACGGGGCUCACAGCACAGCCCCCGGGCCUCUGCUGCGCUCUGCCUGGAUGAAAGCCAUUGACAGGAGGUUUGGUCCCUUCCAGCCGGUGUGACAGCCCCCACCAUUAGUCAGGCUGGCCCCGGGACAGAGCCCCUUAUACAGCAGGCAGGGACAGGGUUCUGUUGUGUUACUCCGGUAGCACAUAUACUAAAAUUGGAACGAUACAGAGAAGAUUAGCAUGGCCCCUGCGCAAGGAUGACACGCAAAUUCGUGAAGCGUUCCUCAUUUUGUCCCCUAACAAACAUGGUGUUUAGGGUUGUUAUCUGUGAGAAACAGCGCCCCCCCGCGGCCGAGCAGCGCUACUGCAACUCUGUUUAAACCGGGACCUUUACGACUUCACUGGACCCUAAGUACGGAUCCACCAUGUGUCCGGUCCCUCUGUGGCUACGGAGGUUUUACCCAGACACACUUCAGAAUCAGGACCGGGUUUUACUGCAGAGCCGCUUCGGUGUAUUUUGGUGCAAAGCAAGAGAAAAGCCGUCUGUGCAGCGUGAAGCAUGCGGGAGCUGGGAAUCCGAAUCCGGCGCUAGAGAACGGAGCGUCGUGUCCCGCCGGACGGGACCGAGGAGCGGGCGGAGAAAGGAAGGAGACUCGCUGACGUGGAAAAGUCCAGACACGAAGCCCGUUAAACGGACGCGGUUCGAGGCCCGGAUCCUGUUUCAUCCGGCCCGCAGCGGGCAGCGCGUAACAGAGCGGGCCCGGGCCGGUCCGGUACCGCGUCCGGUACCGGCGGCAGGAGACACACACGGCCGCUCAAACGCCUCCGUCUCCGGUUACCUGCGGCCGUUAAUUUCUAUAUCUAUGUGUGUGUGUAAAUAUGUGUGUAUGCUGUCCUGUGACCUGAGGGUCAAGCAAAGCAGCACCUUCAGCGGAGACUCAUCCUCCCACAAUGCACCACAGAGCGCCACAGGAAGUCAUCAGACUCUUUAACUCCUCCCUCUAAGUGUCAGUCUGUUUGACCCGAAGUCACUAAACUGGACAUUGAUCAUUAACAUCUCUGCAAUACUUGAGAUAAUUAUACAAUAUCCUGUGUUUUCAGUUUAAUUAUUGAUAUUUAUUCAUACAUUCAUAUUCCUGCUGGGGCGGUCCCCCCCUCGCCCUUGACGCAGCAGCACACAGCUGGAACAGAUGUGCAUCAUCCAGAUCAGAGCCGUCGUUUCACCAUCCCGUUCUCUGGUUCUGGUUUCUGCACAUUUUAAACGUGUGUACGAGCAGUGGACAUUUUCAGUCUGGUUGUUUUUGUGAAAGUCGUGUUUCCAGUCAGGGAUAAACUUUCAUUUCUGUAGCUCUUCGUCUACAUACGCUCUUCAUGUAUAAUGUAAUACAAACAUGAGACAUAUUACUGAGACCUUUUACUGUUCUACAUGUAUUACUACAUCAUCAUCAGUCAUCCUGUCUGUUUCACUGCUUCACGGCCCCUGAAGCUCUCCUCCAGCUUUGCCGCAGCCGGGGAUCGAACAGCCGACCUUCUGCUCCGCAGCAGAUACACAGGAGAGGCCCGCCCCCUUCGGGACGGUGAUGUCCCGCCGUCCAAUCACUGCACAGUAUUUGUUCCCGCUGCGGACAACACACAGCCAAUCAGAUGGCUCGAUUUGUUCCAAUUCCGAGAAUCAAACGUUUGGCGCCCAAUAGGAGAAGCGGAUUUGUUCCGAUUUCUGCCCGUGGCCCCGCCUCCUGUAGCAUCAAGGUUCGGCGCAGUGAAACGUCAUAUAUCUGUCACGGCUGACCGACGUGUUUUUACGGCACUUUGUGAGACAGCGUAACGUUAGAGCGGAGCUUUAUUACGGCUCAAAGUGUCAGACUUUAGUUUUACUGUGAGGAAUUUAUUAUAUAAACUGUCUGUCAUUGCUUUGUGUUAGCCAGCUAACGUUCAUGCUGUUUAAACCGUUUUAUUCAACUCUGUACUGCCGGCUGUUAGCACGGCUGGGCUGUUAGCAUGCUAACACACCUCCGUGAUCGAUAGAUCCAUAAAACCUGAUCGAUCUAAUGUAAAUAAGAACUCAUUGGUGUAUCGCUUGUAUGCCGAAUUUCUUAGUCUAAACCCCUGAUUUAAAAAAGUCCUAAUUCAUGUUUGUGGAGGUGACAAAAGCAAGACGAUUCUAAAUUUGUCCGAUUUCAUAUUUCUCGACCGGUCAGGCAGGUUUCAUGGGGAAACUGGUCGAGUUCAGACUCGAAACAGUGACUCACUGUUGAGCUGCUGGUGGAUUUAAAAAAAAAAAAAAAAAAAGACAACUUUUUCACCAGUCAGCUGUUCAACCACUUAAUGUAGAUUUCCAAUAUUUAAUAUCGGAACAUCUGUGACAACAUGGCGCCGAGUAACAGUCUGAUAUGCAGACAGAGAUCUGGUGUCUAACAGUCGUCCUGUCAUAUUAUAGCUGCUCCUGCUGACCAAUCAGAGAGCUUUCAAUAAACUGCUGACUGUCA